UAGGGAAUCUUCGGCAAUGGACGAAAGUCUGACCGAGCAACGCCGCGUGAGUGAAGAAGGUUUUCGGAUCGUAAAACUCUGUUGGUAGAGAAGAACGUUGGUGAGAGUGGAAAGCUCAUCAAGUGACGGUAACUACCCAGAAAGGGACGGCUAACUACGUGCCAGCAGCCGCGGUAAUACGUAGGUCCCGAGCGUUGUCCGGAUUUAUUGGGCGUAAAGCGAGCGCAGGUGGUUUAUUAAGUCUGGUGUAAAAGGCAGUGGCUCAACCAUUGUAUGCAUUGG
rnacentral:rRNA from 1 species